GAUGAAGAACGUAGCGAAAUGCGAUACUUGGUGUGAAUUGCAGAAUCCCGUGAACCAUCGAGUCUUUGAACGCAAGUUGCGCCCGAAGCCAUCAGGUUGAGGGCACGUCUGCCUGGGCGUCACAUAUCGUUGCCCAAUGCCUAUUGCAGUGCAAUAGGAAUUUCUAGGGCGAAUGAUGGCUUCCCGUGAGUGUUGUUGCCUCGCGGUUGGUUGAAAAUCGAGUCCUUGGUAGGGUGUGCCAUGGUAGAUGGUGGUCGAGUUAGAACGAUACCGAUCAUGUGCAUGCUCCCCAAAAUAUGGCCUCUAUGACCCACACGCGUCUUUUGACGCUCAUGACGAGACCUCAGGUCAGGCGGGGCUACCCGCUGAAUUUAAGCAUAUCAAUAAGCGGAGGA
rnacentral:misc_RNA from 1 species